AUAAAUGAAUGUUGGAUCAAUAAUGAUAUGUAUUGAAUAAUGAAAAUUAAGUGUCAAAUUUUUGUCUUCAAAAAGUGGGAUGUUUUCUGCUUCCACUAGAAAUAAGAGGUAGUCGCUUGUCCUAUCUCAAAUUGUACACGACCUUUCUAUCGUUCUGCGACUCUUUUCAUAAAACAUCUUACAAUUAAGAUGAAAAUUUUAAAACACCGUAAUUCUUUUGCAAUUCUUCACUCAUAUAUUUCCGAAUGAAUAUACAUAGGAGAAAAACUUGCAUUCUUACUCGGGGCAUAGUUGCACUCAGUCAAAGACACAGGAGCCUAUACUCCCUGAAAUGCUGGUAUGGAGACCGUCCUUUUUACUUUAACUUCUCUUGAAAUUUUAUCAUUAGCGAUGCAACACUGAACAUCUGUUUUCUCAGUUUUUCAUGUUCUUGUUUUGUAGUCGAUGUAGUGAACAUACUCAAGGAGGAAGUCUUGCCCCAUAUCGCUGGAUGAUCCAUGUCAACGACCAUGAGACUUCCAUCAUGCCCCAUGUCUUUAAGGUAUAUCUGGACUCCCAAGACUUCCAUCAUGCCCCAUGUCAUUAGGGUAUAUCUGGACUUCCAAGACUUCCAUCAUGUCCCAUGUCAUUAGGGUAUGUCUGGACUUCCAUCAUGCCCCAUGUCUUUAAGGUAUAUCUGGACUUCCAAGACUUCCAUCAUGUUCCAUGUCUUUAAGGUAUAUCUGGACUUCCAAGACUUCCAUCAUGCCCUAUGUCAAUCCCAUGGACUGGGAACAGGUGUUCAUUGAGAUCAUGCAAUACUUGUAGGUUGCAGCACAGGAGACAACUCUUCUAGUACCUUGAAGUACUUCUUAUAAGAAAAAAGUGAAGCUGUGGAACCGCUGUCCAACAAAAAUUUGAAAUCUUCCUCACACAAUACCUCAGUAAUGUAAAACCCAUUACCAAAAUGAAACUUCUGCGUGUUUCUACAUUGUUUAAAAUCCACUCCAUAUGAUUCAUCUAUUCCAUGCAUGUCUUCUGUUGAUCAUCAGCCCUCGACCUACCAAGCUGAUGGUAACAGAAGUACCCUAUAAUGUAACCUUUGAAAAACGUGAACAGAGAAACAGAACGCACGAGGCUUUAGGGAUCAUUGAACAAUCAUCACUUUGGAAUCAGAAAAGAGCAAAGUUGCAGCAACACUGAGGAAGAACCGAAUCACUGCCAGCGACGAUGAAAGGAGUCCUUCGAAGGACUGGUUUCUGUUUGCAGACGAUUACCUCAGUGGAUGGAGGAAAAAGGAGAAGGGAAGGACAGUAUCGUUUACAGACGAAUCAGUCAGUGCUGCAUGAUUACAAUGGUCUGUUUGUCUGUCUGUCGUUCAGUUACAUAAAUAUAUAUACCUGUCAA